rnacentral:rRNA from 1 species
CGCCCAGACUCCUACGGGAGGCAGCAGUGGGGAAUAUUGCACAAUGGGGGAAACCCUGAUGCAGCGACGCCGCGUGAGCGAUGAAGUAUUUCGGUAUGUAAAGCUCUAUCAGCAGGGAAGAAGAUGACGGUACCUGACUAAGAAGCCCCGGCUAACUACGUGCCAGCAGCCGCGGUAAUACGUAGGGGGCAAGCGUUAUCCGGAUUUACUGGGUGUAAAGGGAGCGUAGACGGCGAUGCAAGCCAGAUGUGAAAGCCCGGGGCUCAACCCCGGGACUGCAUUUGGAACUGUGUGGCUGGAGUGUCGGAGAGGCAGGCGGAAUUCCUAGUGUAGCGGUGAAAUGCGUAGAUAUUAGGAGGAACACCAGUGGCGAAGGCGGCCUGCUGGACGAUGACUGACGUUGAGGCUCGAAAGCGUGGGGAGCAAACAGGAUUAGAUACCCUAGUA